rnacentral:lncRNA from 1 species
GUCGAGCAAUUUAAACAAACAAUUAUAUAUUUUAGAUACAAUACAAUACAAUAUAAUAGAACAUAUUUGAAGAGUUCAAUUUCAAAUUUAUAUUAAAAACACGUACAAUAAUAAGCUUGUCUGGCAUUGGUCUGACCCCCUCAGUUCUAAAGACUACGUACCCAACUGUGGGAUAAAUCAAAGGAAUACAAAACUACUUUAGAAAAAGGUUAUGUUAAUUUGUGAUUUUUUUGUCGAUGACUUUGUUGUGCUGUAACUUUUUGUUCUACAUUCGUAAAUAAGUUUCUUGGUGAAGAGAUAAAUAUAA